UUAGCCACCUCUUGCGUUCCGUCAGUAGAUUAGUGGGGUUCCGUGUGGUAGAGGGGAUUAGUCCAAAUCACACAGCAACAAAAAUAAAAUAAAAACAAUAGAUAUAGUUAUAGAGGCCCAAGAAGAAACAUAAUAAUAAUAAAAAUAAAUAAAUUGUCCGAUUGUCUAUUCUGAGAGCAGCCGGUAAGACAGCUAACGGUUAGCAGGCCGCAGAUGGGCGUUCAGGUAACGUUGCGACGGAGGAGCCAGCCGGAUCUCCUUCGGGUAGAUAACGUCGGCAGUCCAGUUGUGAAGGCCCAGUGGGGCUCCGCGUAUGCAGUAAAACGGGUCCGGAUAGGUGACUGCAGCCCAGGAGUGAUUGAUGGAACUCAGGAGUGAUUGACGGAGCUGGCUUGCUCCGGAGUAAUUGAUGUUUGCUCCGGAAUCGACGAGAGCAGAUAGACACACGGAUAGCAGCUAGCUAGCUGUGAGAUCCGGGAAUGAAUGUCCAGAGAGCAGUUGAAAUCCAAGGACAUGGAGAGAAAAAUUGGUCCGGUAUGUUCCGUUCCGAGCCGCGCCGUACAAAAACUGGCGAUAGAUUUUCGAGCUAAAGGAUAGCUGAUGACCACAAACUGUGGUUAGCUGAAUACUAACGAUUUGCCAGUAAAGAAGCUAACUAGCUUCUGAACUAGCUUCUGAUUAGCUUCUAGCUAGCUCCUGGCUAGCUUCUGGUUAGUUUCUGGCUAGCUUCUUGGAGUUUCUGGCUAGCUUCUGGCUAGCUUCUUGGAGGAUUGCAGAUUUGAGGUAAAUAAUACUUAUUUAUAAAUAUAAAUUGGUGAGGCGGGUUGCAGGAGAGUGUUUUGAAGAUGAGUUGAUGGAAAAUAAAAAUAAAAUUAUGUGAAAAAAAGUUGUAAAUAUAUAUAUAUACAGGACACGACAAGACGAGGACAAAAGACGUCUGAACUGCUAUGCCAUCUCGGGUUAUCUCAGGUGAUGGUGUUAAUUGGAUCUUUAUCUCAGGUGAUGGUUGUAAUAGGAUCUUUAUCUCAGGUGAUGGUUGUAAUUGGUUCUUUAUCUCAGGUGAUGGUUGUAAUAGGAUCUUUAUCUCAGGUGAUGUUUGUAUUUGGUUCUUUAUCUCAGGUGAUGGUUGUAAUUGGAUCUUUAUCUCAGGUGAUGGUUGUAAUUGGUUCUUUAUCUCAGGUGAUGGUUGUAAUUGGUUCUUUAUCUCAGGUGAUGGUGUUAAUUGGAUCUUUAUCUCAGGUGAUGGUUGUAAUUGGAUCUUUAUCUCAGGUGAUGGUUGUAAUUGGAUCUUUAUCUCAGGUGAUGGUUGUAAUUGGUUCUUUAUCUCAGGUGAUGGUUGUAAUUGGAUCUUUAUCUCAGGUGAUGGUUGUAAUUGGUUCUUUAUCUCAGGUGAUGGUUGUAAUUGGUUCUUUAUCUCAGGUGAUGGUUGUAAUUGGAUCUUUAUCUCAGGUGAUGGUUGUAAUUGGAUCUUUAUCUCAGGUGAUGGUUGUAAUUGGUUCUUUAUCUCAGGUGAUGGUUGUAAUUGGAUCUUUAUCUCAGGUGAUGGUUGUAAUUGGUUCUUUAUCUCAGGUGAUGGUUGUAAUUGGAUCUUUAUCUCAGGUGAUGGUUGUAAUUGGUUCUUUAUCUCAGGUGAUGGUUGUAAUUGGUUCUUUAUCUCAGGUGAUGGUUGUAAUUGGAUCUUUAUCU